rnacentral:rRNA from 1 species
GAGUUCCCGUUGAUCCUGCGGGAGAUUGCUGCUAUUAGGUUUCCACUUAGCCAUGCAAGUCAAGGGGGCUCUUCGGAGUCACCGGCGAAAUGCUCAGUAACACGUCAGUAAUCUGCCCUAUGGUAAGGAAUAACCUCGGGAAACUGAGACUAAUACCUUAUAGAAGAUUAAUGCUGGAAUGCUUUUUCUUCCAAAGUUUCGACGCCAUAGGAUGAGCUGGUGGCUGAUUAGCUUGUUGGUGAGGUAAAGGCUCACCAAGGCGAAGAUCAGUACGGGCCUUGAGAGAGGUAGCCCGGAGAAGGAGACUGAGAUAAGGCUCCUAGCCCUAAGGGGUGCAGCAGGCAGGAAACCUUUACAAUGCACGAAAGUGUGAUAAGGGGAACCUAAGUGCUUGCUUUCGAGUGAGCUUUUGUCAAGUGUAAAAAUCUUGACGAAUAAGUGGUGGGUAAGACCGGUGCCAGCAGCCGCGGUAACCCCGGCGCCACGAGUGGCAAUCGCGUUUAUUGGGCCUAAAGCGUCCGUAGCUGAUUUAUUCAGUCCUUUGUUAAAUCGUUCAGCUUAACUGAGCGGCUGCAAGGGAUACUAGUAAGUUUGGGAUCGGGAGGAGGCAGAAGUACUCUUAGGGUAGCGGUAAAAUGUGAUAAUCCUUAGAGGACUACCGGUGGCGAAGGCGUCUGCCUAGAACGAAUCCGACAGUGAGGGACGAAAGCCAGGGGAGCAAAAGGGAUUAGAUACCCCCGUAGUCCUGGCCGUAAACUCUGCGAACUAUGUGUUGCAUAUUCUUCAAGGAUAUGCAGUGCCGUAGCGAAGGUGUUAAGUUCGCCGCCUGGGAAGUACGGUCGCAAGACUGAAACUUAAAGGAAUUGGCGGGGGCGCGCUACAAGGAGUGGAACGUGCGGUUUAAUCAGAUU